rnacentral:tRNA from 1 species
UUUUAUAUAGUUUAAAUUUAAAACAUUACACUUUCAUUGUAAAAAUAAAAAAAAUUUUUUAUAAAUA